GUUUACUGCCGCACAGGCAGCUUAGGAA
rnacentral:other from 15 species